rnacentral:rRNA from 1 species
CCUACGGGAGGCAGCAGUUAGGAAUAUUGGACAAUGGGCGAAAGCCUGAUCCAGCCAUGCCGCGUGUGUGAUGAAGGCCCUAGGGUUGUAAAGCACUUUCGUUGGGGAUGAUAAUGACCGUACCCAAAGAAGAAGCACCGGCUAACUUCGUGCCAGCAGCCGCGGUAAUACGAAGGGUGCAAGCGUUGUUCGGAAUCACUGGGCGUAAAGAAUGCGUAGGCGGCUUAACAAGUCGGGAGUGAAAUCCCAGGGCUCAACCCUGGAACUGCUCUCGAAACUGUUUUGCUAGAGUCCCGGAGGGGUUAGCGGAAUUCCGAGUGUAGAGGUGAAAUUCGCAGAUAUUCGGAGGAACACCAGUGGCGAAGGCGGCUAACUGGACGGGAACUGACGCUGAGGCAUGAAAGUGUGGGGAUCAAACAGGAUUAGAUACCCUGGUAGUCCACACCGUAAACGAUGUGUGCUAGUUGUCGGGCAGCUUUGCUGUUCGGUGACGGAGCUAACGUUUUAAGCACACCGCCUGGGAAGUACGGCCGCAAGGUUAAAACUCAAAUGAAUUGACGG